UACAGAGGUCUCAAGCGUUGUUCGGAUUCAUUGGGCGUAAAGGGUGUGUAGGUGGCGCCGUAAGUCGGGUGUGAAAUUUCGGAGCUUAACUCCGAAACUGCAUUCGAUACUGCGGUGCUUGAGGACUGGAGAGGAGACUGGAAUUUACGGUGUAGCGGUGAAAUGCGUAGAUAUCGUAAGGAAGACCAGUGGCGAAGGCGGCAUCCUGGACCGAUACUGACGCUGAGGAGCGAAAGCCAGGGGAGCAAACGGG
rnacentral:rRNA from 1 species